UCUCCUGGGAAAUAAGAGUUCUAAAAUAUUAUGAUCUGCAAAAACUUCUGGUUUCAACAAUUCUAUAUACCAUUUUGUUUUACCUGUGUUGAGAAUUCAUGGAGUAGAACAGUAUAAUCAAAAUCAAUUGCAUCAUCAUUUGUUUUCUAGAAGAAGAAAAAAAGUGUUAGUGUUCAGAAUAUGGAAGGCUUGUCUUAUAUCAGUUCUUGUUUUGGAUGGGUGCAUGGGUGCCUUCAAUCACCUGCCCUCUCUUUGUAGCCUCAUCUCCUUUGGUGGUAUCCUGCAUCAAGAUGUGGAUGUUGUGGAUUCUUACUCUGCCACCAAGCCAUGAAAAUAUAGUAAGGUCUUUCUGUCCCUUUUCUCUUUAAUAUUUAUGGGUUUUGAUGGAGACUAAGCUCUAUGAGAAUAGGGAGAAUCUUUUGACAGCCUAAGGGAUCUACAUACUGUAUAUGCACCUUGAGCUGAUAUGUAGCCCUGAUAUGCCAGGCAGUAAGACAAAGGGGAAGGGCGACCAGGAUUUCUAGAAGGACACCAUGGGCCACGUUCUGUGCUAGGCACUUUAUACAUAUUUUCAUGGAAUUCUCCUGUCUUGCAAGAAUAUGUAUUAUGAGCCUUGUUUUACAGUGAAGGCAACUCGAGGUUACAGCUAGUAGGUAACAAAUGGGGAUUCAAACCCAGAUCUACUGACUCCAUCACCCACAUCCUUCAUGCUUUACCACACUGCUUCUAAAACCAGUGCAAUUUACAGUAAGCAGGCCGUCUCCCUCAUCUCUUUUAUUCACUUGAUUUCUAUAAAUUUUACAAGUGACUAAACCAAUUUCCUAUUUUCUUUUUGACAGUAAUUGUUUUGGGAGGAAAGGUUGGGAGGCAGAAGUGUUUAUCCCUUUACUAGUAAAAAUGGAAAAGAAAUUAAAAAGCUAAUUUGGAUUAUGAUUUUAAUCUACCAGGCUUUCACUGAGACUACUUAAGAAUAUGAAAAAGCAAAAAACAAACAAAAAGGACUGAUAUUUUGUCUUCCCUUUGCUUACAUUGAUGAAGAUUUUUAUAAGCCAUGAAAUUUCCAUCAGGUGGAGAGGAUGCUAGAGGGAUAAGAUACAAGAGAGGGCCUGGAUCAAUCAGAAAUUGACUGCUUUUCUGUGAUGCUUUCCAUCAUUGGGUAGGUUUCCCUUCUGCCAGGUAGCAUGAAUGGUGAAAACAAAUAUCCAAAACACAGGCUGAGAAGUCCAAGAAUUCAUGAGGGAAAAUUUAGUGUCAUAUAUAAAGGAACACUUUCUGGAGACUCCAGUUAUCAGCUGGGCAUUGCUAGGUUUGGGGGUGGAUUUAGACUCUCAUUUGGUGACGAUCUUGACCUUGGACUGUACUGACACAGCUGGCUGCUGUGCUGUAUAAUUUUUGUCUCAGACUUUUGAGCUUGCACCAUUUUUCAAGGUCUGUUUUAUGUGUAUAUCUAACAGUUAAAAAAUUGGUCAUAAACUUUUUUCAGGACAUUGCCUCUUUUUGUUUUUGAAAAUAACAUUUCUGAAGGAAAUUAUGGCAGUCUCCAGAUUUUAGGCAAAAAGGAAGAAAAGGCUUGAAGCAAAUGAUGGCAUUCCAAGUCCACUGACAAACUUCUGCUCAGUGUUACCCAUUUUUUAAUAAUCCAGAAAAAAAAACUGCAUUAUAAUGCUUAGACACCGUCUACAUUUAAGACCUUCCUCAAUAAAGUUAUUGAAAUACAUCUUACAUUUCCAUUUUUAUAGAUUCUUCCUCUUCCAGGAGGAAGCACCCUUAGACCAAACCAAAAGCAGGGCUUAUUGAACAACCACAGCCCAGACGUGGCACAUCCCAGCCUGGCAAAGUAUCCAGGGUGCACUGCCCAUACCAACUCUUUCUUAGCCUGCUCUUCUCUCAGGCUGUGUUCAUGUGAGGCUGUACUUCCUUACACCACUGGAUUAACAGGCUGGUUGAGGGAUAUUAAUGGACAGAUGAUGGUCAUCGAAGACAGGCUAGAAUGAAUGAGAAACAGGGCUGCUGUUUUCAAACCACCGUAUGUCCUGGUGGUUGCUUAAAUGACGUGUCAUGUACAAAUACAAAAGAAUGGAAAAGACUGCCAUUAAAAGAU